GUGUGCUUUUGGCAAUAUAAAGUUUGAAGACAUCAUUAAAGUGAUCCGUAUGGAAGAUAAAAUGUUAUGUGACAUUAAAACAAGAGGGUGUGGAAAGGCAAACUUUGUUCGUCAUACUAUAAGUAGAUCCCCGCCUAUCUUCACAAUUGUGUUGGAAUGGGAGAAGAAUGAAACUGAAAAA